rnacentral:rRNA from 1 species
GAUGAACGCUGGCGGCGUGCCUAAUACAUGCAAGUAGAACGCUGAAGGAAGGAGCUUGCUCUUUCCGGAUGAGUUGCGAACGGGUGAGUAACGCGUAGGUAACCUUCCUGGUAGCGGGGGAUAACUAUGGGAAACGAUAGCUAAUACCGCAUAACAGGAGAUGUUGCAUGAUAUCUACUUAAAAGGUGCAAUUGCACCACUACCAGGUGGACCUGCGUUUUAUUAGCUAGUUGGUGAGGGAACGGCUCACCAAGGCAACGUUACAUAGCCGCUCUGAGGGGAGGAUCGGCCACACUGGAACGGGACCACGGCCCAGACUCCACCGGAGGGAGCCGUUGGGGAACUUUGGACAAUGACGGCAGUCCGGACGCGCCCAUACGGCGGAGGUGAGGAGGGCUUCGGAUUGUAAAGGUCCGUUGUAAGGGAAAGAAGAGCGGCAGAGUGGAACCCCGACAUUGUGACGGUACCUUAACAGAAAGCAACGGCUAACUUCGUG